rnacentral:rRNA from 1 species
CCUACGGGGGGCUGCAGUGGGGGAUAUUGCACAAUGGGGGGAACCCUGAUGCAGCGACGCCGCGUGGGUGAAGAAGCGCCUCGGCGCGUAAAGCCCUGUCAGCAGGGAAGAAAAUGACGGUACCUGAAGAAGAAGCCCCGGCUAACUACGUGCCAGCAGCCGCGGUAAUACGUAGGGGGCAAGCGUUAUCCGGAUUUACUGGGUGGAAAGGGGGCGCAGACGGCGAUGCAAGCCAGGAGUGAAAGCCCGGGGCCCAACCCCGGGACUGCUCUUGGAACUGCGUGGCUGGAGUGCAGGAGGGGCAGGCGGAAGUCCUGGUGUAGCGGUGAAAUGCGUAGAUAUCAGGAGGAACACCGGUGGCGAAGGCGGCCUGCUGGACUGCAACUGACGUUGAGGCCCGAAAGCGUGGGGAGCAAACAGGAUUAGAUACCCUUGUAGUC